rnacentral:rRNA from 1 species
AUUGAACGCUGGCGGCAGGCCUAACACAUGCAAGUCGAACGGUAGCACAGAGAGCUUGCUCUCGGGUGACGAGUGGCGGACGGGUGAGUAAUGUCUGGGAAACUGCCCGAUGGAGGGGGAUAACUACUGGAGACGGUAGCUAAUACCGCAUAACGUCUUCGGACCAAAGUGGGGGACCUUCGGGCCUCACACCAUCGGAUGUGCCCAGAUGGGAUUAGCUAGUAGGUGGGGUAAUGGCUCACCUAGGCGACGAUCCCUAGCUGGUCUGAGAGGAUGACCAGCCAAACUGGAACUGAGACACGGUCCAGACUCCUACGGGAGGCAGCAGUGGGGAAUAUUGCACAAUGGGCGCAAGCCUGAUGCAGCCAUGCCGCGUGUAUGAAGAAGGCCUUCGGGUUGUAAAGUACUCUCAGCGGGGAGGAAGGCGGUGAAGUUAAUAGCUUCAUCGAUUGACGUUACCCGCAGAAGAAGCACCGGCUAACUCCGUGCCAGCAGCCGCCGUAA